GCAGGGCUUCAGUUUCCUGUUUUGUAACGUGGAGAGCUUGUAGACGUCUGGGUGGAGAGCUCAGGGAAAGCAGGCCACCCUGGACCUCGAUGUCCCCAACAGGGUAGAGGAGUUUGGUGGAGAAGCCCAGCCCCUGCCACUAGGAGAAACUCAACCCAAACUCGAUGCACAAACACCCCAGACUGUGCAUCGUCCCACCUGAAGUCCUCGUGGGCCGUGGAGGCCAGGUCUGGUCCCUGCGCCGCUGCUCCAGGACCGGGGAUUUGGAGAGAACCACAGCUCGGUGGAGACACGGACGUGCACCCAGGGCCUCUUGGGGUGUCCGAGUUACUGCCUGA
rnacentral:lncRNA from 1 species